UACGUAGGGUGCAAGCGUUAAUCGGAAUUACUGGGCGUAAAGCGUGCGCAGGCGGUUAUAUAAGACAGAUGUGAAAUCCACGGGCUCAACCUGGGACCUGCAUUUGUGACUGUAUAGCUAGAGUACGGCAGAGGGGGAUGGAAUUCCGCGUGUAGCAGUGAAAUGCGUAGAUAUGCGGAGGAACACCGAUGGCGAAGGCAAUCCCCUGGGCCUGUACUGACGCUCAUGCACGAAAGCGUGGGGAGCAAACAGGAUUAGAAACCCUCGUAGUCC
rnacentral:rRNA from 1 species